rnacentral:rRNA from 1 species
CGCCUCUUGCUGAUAAUUGAAGAAUAAGAGGUCGAGCCUGCCCACUGACUAUAUGUUCAACGGCCACGGUAUUUUGACCGUGCAAAGGUAGCGUAAUCACUUGUCUUUUAAAUUGAGACCUGUAUGAACGGAAUAACGAGGGCUUAACUGUCUCCUCCCUCCAGUCAGUGAAAUUGAUCUCCCCGUGCAAAAGCGGGGAUUCCCACAUAAGACGAGAAGACCCUAUGGAGCUUUAGACACCCAACAGACCAAGUAAAAAUUAGUCUAGACCAACAGACAAGACUCGACUUGGACCCCUGCCUGGAUGUCUUUGGUUGGGGCGACCACGGGGAAAAAUAAACCCCCCACGUAGAAUGGGAGCAACUUUCUCAUACGUACAUAUUCUCUCAUCCUCCUUAAACCUAGAAUGCCAAUUCAAAGUAGCAGAACCUUCUGAUCUAAUAUUGAUCCGGCCUCACGGCCGAACAACGGACCGAGUUACCCUAGGGAUAACAGCGCUAUCCCCUUACAGAGACCCUAUCGACAAGGGGGUUUACGACCUCGAUGUUGGAUCGGGACAUCCUAAUGGCGCAGCCGUUAUUAAGGGUUCGUUUGUUCAACGAUUAAAGUCCC